rfam:Triticum aestivum genome assembly, contig: Triticum_aestivum_CS42_TGACv1_scaffold_473107_6AL
AUAGUACUCCCUCCGUCCCGAAAUAGUUGUCAUCAAAAUGAAUAAAAGGGGAUGUAUCUAGAUGUAUUUUAGUUCUAGAUACAUCCCUCUAUCCAUUUUAAUGACAAGUAUUUUUGGACGGAGGGAGUAUAAC